rnacentral:rRNA from 1 species
GACGAAGGGGGCAAGCGUUAUCCGUCGUAAUUGGGCGUUGAGCGUUCGCAGGCGGCACUUGGUAGUGGUCGGUUAAAUCGUUAGGCCCAACCUAACGGGAGCCGCGCAAACACUUGUGCUAGAGUGAGAUAGAAGGUUAUAGAAUUUCUUGAGGAGGGGUGAUAUCCGAACAUUUAAGAAGGAAUAUCGUUUGUGAAGACAAUAACCGAGCUCUAAUCACUGACGUUAAGGAACGAAAGCACGGGGAGCAAACAGG